rnacentral:rRNA from 1 species
CCUACGGGAGGCAGCAGUGGGGAAUUGUUCGCAAUGGGCGCAAGCCUGACGACGCAACGCCGCGUGGAGGAUGAAGAAUUUCGGUUCGUAAACUCCUUUCGAUCGGGAAGAACAGCUCUUGAGUUAAUAGCUUGGGAGUCUGACGGUACCGAGAGAAGAAGCCCCGGCUAACUCUGUGCCAGCAGCCGCGGUAAUACAGGGGGGGCAAGCGUUGUUCGGAAUUACUGGGCGUAAAGGGCUCGUAGGCGGCCAACUAAGUCCGACGUGAAAUCCCAAAGCUUAACUUUGGAACUGCGUCGGAUACUGGAUGGCUUGAAUUCGGGAGAGGGAUGCAGAAUUCCAGGUGUAGCGGUGAAAUGCGUAGAUAUCUGGAGGAAUACCGGUGGCGAAGGCGGCAUCCUGGACCGACAUUGACGCUGAGGAGCGAAAGCUAGGGGAGCAAACGGGAUUAGAUACCCCGGUAGUCCUAGCCCUAAACGAUGAAUGCUUGGUGUGGCGGGUAUCGAUCCCUGCCGUGCCGAAGCUAACGCAUUAAGCAUUCCGCCUGGGGAGUACGGUCGCAAGGCNGAAACUUAAAUGAAUUGACGG